ACUCAUGUAAGUCCAUCCUUCGUAUAUUUCAAUUCUUCUUCUAAGCUAAUUAAAUUGAGAGAGAGAGCACAGAUCGAAGGCUUCAUGGUUAUAAACUAAUUGAAAGCCUGUGGAGCUCAAUUUCUCACUAUCUCUGCAAUCUAGAGAAGAAUAUCCUCUUUUUUUGCUGAAUUUGAUUGCGCUGAGAAUGGUUGAACGAUCGAAACUGUUACCCCUAAAUAUGCAGAAAUAAUUGUAAUUCGUCACGGCGAGACGGAGUGGAAUAACAAUCAUAGAAUUCAGGAGAAUACAGAUUCAUGCAGGGAGCCGGGAGUUAAGUAAACUGAGGAAUUUGAAAGAGCUAGAGCUCAGCAGAGUGCGCCAAGAAGGCCUUCUGCUUUCCCAAUUUUGCAGCGAGAUUGCUGGGCUUAAGUGCUAGCUUGACGAGGCUUUCCAUUUGUCAUUUCUCCAUAAGGAUCUAUAAGAUGAUGCAUUUCUUUGGAGUUUUAAACAUCCUUUUAAGGCCGGUGUACAAGGACUGGAAAACUGGUGUGUAAAAGCAUCGGCUGAGUAUCAGUAUGUUGGAUCCUCGUGGGACGAACUCCAGCACAUAAGACAAGCUAUAGCUUUUGUAUUCAUGCAGGGAGUUCAUAGAGCAAGCUGGUAGAGGGGGUUCUAUCUCUUCUUUCUUAUAUUAAUAUUAUACAAUAUAAUUUUCGUUGCAUUUUAAAAUAUUAUAUUCAGGAAUUAUUUGUUUUAUGAAUUCUAUUCUAUUCUAUAAGAAAGUUAUGCAUUUCCUAUUUCGUUUCUGAUUUCCAAACCUUUAAUGUAUUUGAUCACAUUGGAUGAUUGAAUUUGAUUCUCUGAAUUCAUUUGCUCUAAUUUCUUACUUCAGUCUUGCUUGGAUCAUUUGUAGUUUUGAUACAACUUUUUUGUCGAAUUUCUAGAUGACUAAUAUGAGAAGCUUUCUUGCUUCGGGCUCGUUGAAUUGAGCAGCCUUUGUAUACGAUGAUCCUUUAUUUUGAGAAUAGCAUGUGGAUAAAUGAAUUGGUUUUGAAUGAAAAUGGAGUUGGUUAGUCUUGAGGUUUGACGAGCACAUUCUUUCGCUGUUUGAUUCGUAGUUGGAGCUUGGGGUUAUCUUAGAGCUUGUGGUUGUAGGCUCUGUCAAAAUUUCUUGCUCUCUAUUUCCACAGGAGACUAGCGGCAUUAGUUUUAGAAAGCAGCUUGCAGCUUCACUGGCACAGCAUACUGCAAGAGUUGACAAGGUUGGCCAAGCUCACCGGCCUCUGCCACCUGCUAGAUGUUCUAGCGCAAUGGAGAUUGCUCCUCCUCAUUGCAGUCAGUUCAAACAGUUCUGUAGUCUCAAAUGGCAAAUUUGGAGAGUCGAGUUACAGCCUCAAAACAUCCACCGAGUUGCUUAAAGUACUGAAUAAAAUUUGGAGCCUCGAAGAAAAGCAUGCAUUGGAUAUGUAGUUGGUAAGAGCUCUGAAGAGGGAACUGCAGCAAUCCCAGGCACGAAAUCAAGAACUGAUGCAAGAGAAGAAGAGAAAUCAGAAUUAAAUUGAUCAUUUGAUGAAGCAAAUGACGGAGUAUAAAGUUGCUUGAAAGAGGGAGCCGCAACGUAUCAAGGAUGCAGUCAAGUUAGUCGAAGACAAGUUAGAGGAUGAACUAAAAUUAAGGAGACAUUCAGAGAGUCACCAUCACAAGCCGCCUAAGGAGCUCACACAGAUGAAAUCCUCGUUCUCUAAUGUUUUGAGAGAGCUUGAUCGGAGGAAAGCUAGAAGACCUCUGCGAUUAGUUUGCCAAAGGGAUACACGAGAUUAUGAGCGAGAUUAUGACAACCUCUUGAUUCCUUUUAUCUUUAGAUGUUGGAGCUUUGUGGAACUAUUUUGAACAAUUUGAUUUUAACUUGUUUAUGUUGGAGAUUGAACAUAUGAUAUUUUGUUAAGUUGGAUUUCAAUGAAUUAAUGUGAUAUAAGACUUCUUUUGUGGUUUAUAUUUUA